GACGAACGCUGGCGGCGUGCUUAACACAUGCAAGUCGAACGGAAAGGCCCUGCUUUUGUGGGGUGCUCGAGUGGCGAAAGGGUGAGUAACAUGUGAGUAACCUGCCCUUGACUCUGGGAUAACUUCAGGAAACUGGGGCUAAUACCGGAUAGGAGCUCCUGCUGCAUGGUGGGGGUUGGAAAGUUUCGGCGGUUGGGGAUGGACUCGCGGCUUAUCAGCUUGUUGGUGGGGUAGUGGCUUACCAAGGCUUUGACGGGUAGCCGGCCUGAGAGGGUGACCGGCCACAUUGGGACUGAGAUACGGCCCAGACUCCUACGGGAGGCAGCAGUGGGGAAUAUUGCACAAUGGGCGGAAGCCUGAUGCAGCAACGCCGCGUGCGGGAUGACGGCCUUCGGGUUGUAAACCGCUUUCGCCUGUGACGAAGCGUGAGUGGCGGUAAUGGGUAAAGAAGCGCCGGCUAACUACGUG
rnacentral:rRNA from 1 species